GAAAUGCGAUACGUAGUGUGAAUUGCAGAAUUCAGUGAAUCAUCGAAUCUUUGAACGCACAUUGCGCCCCUUGGUAUUCCAUGGGGCAUGCCUGUUCGAGCGUCAUUUGUACCCUCAAGCUUUGCUUGGUGUUGGGUGUUUGUCCUCUCUGGAGGACUCGCCUCAAAACAAUUGGCAGCCGGCAUAUUGGUAUCGGAGCGCAGCACAAGUCGCGCUUCUUUUCCUGAAUGUCAGAAUCCAGCAAGACUAUUUGCACUAUUGACCUAGGAUCAGGUAGGGAUACCCGCUGAACUUAA
rnacentral:misc_RNA from 1 species